AUACGGAGGGGGCUAGCGUUGUUCGGAAUUACUGGGCGUAAAGCGCGCGUAGGCGGUUGUUCAAGUUGGGCGAGAAAGCCCGGGGCUUAACCCCGGAAUUGCGCUCAAAACUGGACAGCUAGAGUCCGGAAGAGGAGAGUGGAAUUCCCAGUGUAGAGGUGAAAUUCGUAGAUAUUGGGAAGAACACCAGUGGGGAAGGCGGCUCUCUGGUCCGGUACUGACGCUAAGGUGCGAAAGCGUGGGGAGCAAACAGGAUUAGAUACCCCAGUAGUCC
rnacentral:rRNA from 1 species